rnacentral:tRNA from 2 species
GUCCCCUUAACUCAAUUGGAUAGAGUGCCGCUCUCCUAAAGCGGGAAUCUGGGUUCAAGUCCCAGAGGGGAUACCA